rnacentral:ncRNA from 2 species
GCGCGUUCGCGCAACUGGCGAGAUGAGAUGGGCAACCAUCGGGGAACGCGAACCUCAUAGCGCCGCUCGCCUGGGCACCCAAC